ensembl:misc_RNA Metazoa_SRP Metazoan signal recognition particle RNA
GCUGGGCAUGGUGGCGGGUGCCUGUAAUCCCAGCUACUAGGGAGGCUGAGGCAGAAGAAUUGCUUGAACCCAGGAGGCAGAAGUUGCAUUGAGCAGACAUUGUGCCAUUGCACUCCAGCCUGGGCAACAGAGCAAGACUCUGUCUCAA